UUUGAUUUUCAUCCUUGUUUCAGAAACAAUAGAAGAGGAGAGGAAAACGCGUAUCCAUCACUCUCAUCGGAGCACGUAGAUAUGAACACCCAAGAUUCAGCAACCUGGCCGAUGUAUUCGUCACCCAAACAUGCAGAUCUCAUCUCAUUGUUCAGAUACCGGAGGACGGCAUGCAAUUAGUCUUCUACAAUUCAGCAACUUUAAGGCUCCCUGCGCUGAAAAGACGAUUAGGAGCAAUUGUGCCGCGCGAAAAGUAUAACGCGAUAGCGGCUAAGCUGGAGGGGGCGUCGCUCGGAUCGGUCUUCUCCGACGGAUACCUCAAUUUUUUGUGUGUUGAGACAACAGAUAAAACCGCUUUCAGCCCCCAUGUUGUGGUGAAGACGGUGCGCAAUUUUCUAGAGAAAAUCGGUGAAAGGAACCUCGUCCUAUACUAUCUUUCAAAUGGGAACAGCUCAUGGAGAGUUAAAAUGUUCUCAUUACUGGCCAUGGAGGUACGAGCGCUGAGCAACUAUAUCGUUAGCGUGAGCGUCGACAAUCUUGCGGAAGAAUUGGAGACGGGCCCGCUUUCCAGGACUAAAUCCGGACAGAGUAGGUCGAUGCCGUUAAACCCUCGUGGCGAGGUAUGGCCUUCCACAGUUUUAAUCAUCUGCAUAAAAUACGACUCCUGAAUCCGGACGACGAACCAGACGAACCAGGCGAUGAAACAAUUCUUGAAAUAAAGAAAAAGCACUUGAAGCAGGUCAUUGAGGAAAGGGUUAAUAAGAAAGUUGCCAAGCGCCUCGCACAAUUGGAGGCCCAGGCCCAAGAACGAUCGAAGGAUGCUAGUUCUUCUGGCACGUCACAGACUGGCACAUCUGAAUCUUCGUUGGCUGGUUGUUCAUCCGGCCCAACACAAGCUGGAGCAUCGAAAGCACCUGAACACGCAACGCCGGUAGACGAAGAUCAACCGCCAACUAUUCUUGUAGAACAAAAAAAUCCGAAGAAAUCCACUAAGAGAAUUCCCAAAAAAAGCGCCAAACCGGAUAAGAAGGCAUCAACUGAACAACAGGAUUCAAUUGUUAGUUCCUCGGAAAAAUCCCUGCCUCCACAACAGCCAACACCAGAUGUUGAAGGGGGACCUAGCUCAGGUAAUAUUAACGUAUGGCAUCCUUACUUGCGUCCC
rnacentral:lncRNA from 1 species